rnacentral:lncRNA from 1 species
GUUGAGCGCGAAGUCCUCGCGGUGGGCGAGGCGGAAGUGGAGCGUGGAGGCGUUGCCGUCGUGCGCGGCGAGGCUGAGCUGCUGCUGGUCCAGAGACUGAGAGGCGGCGGGAGUGGUGACAGGGUCCGGCGAGAGCGGGGUGGCGAGAAGAGAGAGGGUGCGCGUGGGCUUACACAGCGCGGCGGGGAGAGGCAGCAGCACGGCGGCAAUGAGGAGGAGGAGGAGCGUGGACGGGAACGCCAUAGCCGUUGGGUGGAGAGGGGAGGGGAGGGAAUGGCCGGCGGGCGGUUAAUAAUUGGGCAUCGGCCGUCGGUUGCUAGCUGGGGCGAAUAAAUGUGGCCAUGGUUCUUGCCGGCGGCGG